GAGUAAUGCCUAGGAAAUUGCCCUGUUGCCGGGGAUAACCAUUGGAAACGAUGGCUAAUACCGCAUAAUACCUACGGGUCAAAGAGGGGGACCUUCGGGCCUCUCGCGUCAGGAUAUGCCUAGGUGGGAUUAGCUAGUUGGUGAGGUAAUGGCUCACCAAGGCGACGAUCCCUAGCUGGUCUGAGAGGAUGAUCAGCCACACUGGAACUGAGACACGGUCCAGACUCCUACGGGAGGCAGCAGUGGGGAAUAUUGCACAAUGGGCGCAAGCCUGAUGCGGCCAUGCCGCGUGUGUGAAGAAGGCCUUCGGGUUGUAAAGCACUUUCAGUCGUGAGGAAGGUAGUGUAGUUAAUAGCUGCAUUAUUUGACGUUAGCGACAGAAGAAGCACCGGCUAACUCCGUGCCAGCAGCCGCGGUAAUACGGAGGGUGCGAGCGUUAAUCGGGAAUUACUGGGCGUAAAGCGCAUGCAGGUGGUUUGUUAAGUCAGAUGUGAAAGCCCGGGGCUCAACCUCGGAAUAGCAUUUGAAACUGGCAGACUAGAGUACUGUAGAGGGGGGUAGAAUUUCAGGUGUAGCGGUGAAAUGCGUAGAGAUCUGAAGGAAUACCGGUGGCGAAGGCGGCCCCCUGGACAGAUACUGACACUCAGAUGCGAAAGCGUGGGGAGCAAACAGGAUUAGAUACCCUGGUAGUCCACGCCGUAAACGAUGUCUACUUGGAGGUUGUGGCCUUGAGCCGUGGCUUUCGGAGCUAACGCGUUAAGUAGACCGCCUGGGGAGUACGGUCGCAAGAUUAAAACUCAAAUGAAUUGACGGGGGCCCGCACAAGCGGUGGAGCAUGUGGUUUAAUUCGAUGCAACGCGAAGAACCUUACCUACUCUUGACAUCCAGAGAACUUUCCAGAGAUGGAUUGGUGCCUUCGGGAACUCUGAGACAGGUGCUGCAUGGCUGUCGUCAGCUCGUGUUGUGAAAUGUUGGGUUAAGUCCCGCAACGAGCGCAACCCUUAUCCUUGUUUGCCAGCACUUCGGGUGGGAACUCCAGGGAGACUGCCGGUGAUAAACCGGAGGAAGGUGGGGACGACGUCAAGUCAUCAUGGCCCUUACGAGUAGGGCUACACACGUGCUACAAUGGCGCAUACAGAGGGCUGCCAACUUGCGAGAGUGAGCGAAUCCCAAAAAGUGCGUCGUAGUCCGGAUCGGAGUCUGCAACUCGACUCCGUGAAGUCGGAAUCGCUAGUAAUCGUGGAUCAGAA
rnacentral:rRNA from 1 species